rnacentral:rRNA from 1 species
GACGAACGCUGGCGGCGUGCUUAACACAUGCAAGUCGAACGGAAAGGCCCUUCUUUUGUUACGUGCUCGAGUGACGAACGGGUGAGUAACACGUGACUUACCUUCCCUUCACUGUUGGAUAACUUCAGGAAACUGUGGCUCAUACCGUAUCGUUUCUCCUGCUGCAUGGUGGGGGUUGGAUUGUUUCGGCGGUUGGGGAUGGACUCGCGGCUUAUCAGCUUGUUGGUGGGGUAGUGGCUUACCAAGGCUUUGACGGGUAGCCGGCCUGAGAGGGGGGCCGGCCACAAUGGGAGUGAGAUGAGGCGCAGAAGACUACGGGAGGAAGCAGUGGGGAAGAUUACAGAAUGAGCGGAAGAAUGAUGAAGCAACGACGCGUGCGGGAUGAUGGCGUUCGGGUGGUAAAAAGCUUUCGCCGGCGACGAAGAGUGAGUGACGGAAAUGGGUAAAGAAGCACCGGCUAACUACGU